rnacentral:rRNA from 1 species
CAGCAGCCACGGUAAUACGAAGGGGGCUAGCGUUGUUCGGAAUUACUGGGCGUAAAGCGCACGUAGGCGGAUACUUAAGUUAGGGGUGAAAUCCCAGGGCUCAACCCUGGAACUGCCUUUAAUACUGGGUAUCUUGAGUUCGAGAGAGGUAAGUGGAAUUCCGAGUGUAGAGGUGAAAUUCGUAGAUAUUCGGAGGAACACCAGUGGCGAAGGCGGCUUACUGGCUCGAUACUGACGCUGAGGUGCGAAAGCGUGGGGAGCAAACAGGAUUAGAUACCCCAGUAGUCCCUGUCUCUUAUAC